rnacentral:rRNA from 1 species
AUUGAACGCUGGCGGCAGGCCUAACACAUGCAAGUCGAGCGGAUGAAGGGAGCUUGCUCCUGGAUUCAGCGGCGGACGGGUGAGUAAUGCCUAGGAAUCUGCCUGGUAGUGGGGGAUAACGUCCGGAAACGGGCGCUAAUACCGCAUACGUCCUGAGGGAGAAAGUGGGGGAUCUUCGGACCUCACGCUAUCAGAUGAGCCUAGGUCGGAUUAGCUAGUUGGUGGGGUAAAGGCCUACCAAGGCGACGAUCCGUAACUGGUCUGAGAGGUUGAUCAGUCACACUGGAACUGAGACACGGUCCGGACUCCUACGGGAGGCAGCAGUGGGGAAUAUUGGACAAUGGGCGAAAGCCUGAUCCAGCCAUGCCGCGUGUGUGAAGAAGGUCUUCGGAUUGUAAAGCACUUUAAGUUGGGAGGAAGGGCAGUAAGUUAAUACCUUGCUGUUUUGACGUUACCAACAGAAUAAGCACCGGCUAACUUCGUG